UAGGGAAUUUUCGGCAAUGGGGGAAACCCUGACCGAGCAACGCCGCGUGAACGACGAAGGCCUUAGGGUCGUAAAGUUCUGUUGCGAAGGAAGAACGCCGGAGGGAGGAAAUGCCCUGCCGGGUGACGGUACUUCGCGAGAAAGCCACGGCUAACUACGUGCCAGCAGCCGCGGUAAUACGUAGGUGGCGAGCGUUAUCCGGAAUCAUUGGGCGUAAAGAGGGAGCAGGCGGCCGUGAGGGUCUGUGGUAAAAGACUGAAGCUCAACUUCAGUGAGCCAUGGAAACCGGACGGCUGGAGUGCGGCAGAGGAUCGUGGAAUUCCAUGUGUAGCGGUGAAAUGCGUAGAUAUAUGGAGGAACACCAGUGGCGAAGGCGACGGUCUGGGCCUGCACUGACGCUCAUUCCCGAAAGCGUGGGGAGCAAAUAGG
rnacentral:rRNA from 1 species